UACGUAGGGGCUAGCGUUGUCCGGAAUCAUUGGGCGUAAAGCGCGUGUAGGCGGUCCGGUAAGUCCGCUGUGAAAGUCGGGGGCUCAACCCUCGGAUGCCGGUGGAUACUGGCGGCUGGAGGCUGGUAGAGGGCGGUGGAAUCCGGGUGGUGUGAUGGAUGACGGUAGAGCUCCGGAGGAACACCAGUGGCGAAGGCGGACCGCCGCUGGGCCGCGAGCUCC
rnacentral:rRNA from 1 species